GAUGAACGCUGGCGGCGUGCCUAAUACAUGCGAGUCGAGCGAACAGACGAGGAGCUUGCUCCUCUGACGUUAGCGGCGGACGGGUGAGUAACACGUGGAUAACCUACCUAUAAGACUGGGAUAACUUCGGGAAACCGGAGCUAAUACCGGAUAAUAUAUUGAACCGCGUGGUUCAAUAGUGAAAGACGGUUUUGCUGUCACUUAUAGAUGGAUCCGCGCCGCAUUAGCUAGUUGGUAAGGUAACGGCUUACCAAGGCAACGAUGCGUAGCCGACCUGAGAGGGUGAUCGGCCACACUGGAACUGAGACACGGUCCAGACUCCUACGGGAGGCAGCAGUAGGGAAUCUUCCGCAAUGGGCGAAAGCCUGACGGAGCAACGCCGCGUGAGUGAUGAAGGUCUUCGGAUCGUAAAACUCUGUUAUUAGGGAAGAACAAAUGUGUAAGUAACUAUGCACGUCUUGACGGUACCUAAUCAGAAAGCCACGGCUAACUACGUG
rnacentral:rRNA from 1 species